rnacentral:rRNA from 1 species
AUUGAACGCUGGCGGCAGGCCUAACACAUGCAAGUCGAGCGGAUGAAGAGAGCUUGCUCUCUGAUUUAGCGGCGGACGGGUGAGUAAUGCCUGGGAAUCUGCCUGGUAGUGGGGGAUAACGUUCCGAAAGGGACGCUAAUACCGCAUACGUCCUACGGGAGAAAGCAGGGGACCUUCGGGCCUUGCGCUAUCAGAUGAGCCUAGGUCGGAUUAGCUAGUUGGUGAGGUAAUGGCUCACCAAGGCUACGAUCCGUAACUGGUCUGAGAGGAUGGUCAGUCGAACUGGAAGUGGGACACGGUCCAGACUCCUACGGGAGGCAGCAGUGGGGAAUAUUGGAAAAUGGGCGAAAGCCUGAUCCAGCCAUGCCGCGUGUGUGAAGAAGGUCUUCGGAUUGUAAAGCACUUUAAGUUGGGAGGAAGGGCAGUAAGUUAAUACCUUGCUGUUUUGACGUUACCGACAGAAUAAGCACCGGCUAACUUCGUGACAGCCGCCGCGGUAAAAC